GUUUUCUCGAAUUGGAAAGAGCUAUUUUUGUAUAGAUUUAAUUGUUGCAUAACUUUUUAUAAUACAAAGAUAGGAGUGAAAUGCUAGUCGUUUUUCAAGAUAUCUAGUUUCUUAAGAAAUAAAUUUAAUUUAUUUUUUUCGGUUCACGGUGGUUAUUGUCUAAUGUUGUGGUAGAAAAAAAAAAUAUUCUAAGGGAUAAGCUUUAGAAUAAAAUUUUAAAACUAAUUGGGCUGGUUUAGGGGGCUAUAGGAUUGGAAGUGUCAAUUUAAUGUGUUACAACUAACCCCUAGCUUAAUAAGAUUUAUAUAAGGUUUAAUUUUUUUAUUAAGAAUAUGCAUAAAAUAUAGACUUGCAUGAAAUAAUGAUAGAAUUAGUAUAGUUUGUUGUAAAAGUACAUAUAAAAUCAAGGUGAAGUUAAGGAACUCGGCAAAUUUACUUUUCGCCUGUUUAUUAAAAACAUGUCUUUUUGAUUAUAAUUUAAAGUCUAACCUGCCCAAUGAGGAGUUAAAUGGCCGCGGUAAUUUGACCGUGCAAAGGUAGCAUAAUCAUUAGUUUUUUAAUUGAAAGCUGGAAUGAACGGUUGGACGAGAAAGUGACUGUCUCAAUUUUAUUGAUAUUAGAAUUUUAUCUAUAAGUAAAAAAGCUUAUAUGAAUUUAAAAGACGAGAAGACCCUAUAGAAUUUUAUACUUAUUUUUAUGGAUUAGGGUUAGGUUUUAAAUUUUUUUAUAACUGUAAGUAUUUUGUUGGGGCGACAGGAAAAUUUGAUAAACUUUUUUUUAUAAAUUUCACUGAUUAGUGUGUGAUUGAUCCGUUUAUUACGAUUAUAAGAUUAAAUUACCUUAGGGAUAACAGCGUAAUUUUUUUCUAGAGUUCUAAUCGAAAAAAGAGUUUGCGACCUCGAUGUUGGAUUAAAAUUAACUUUUGGUGCAGCAGCUAAAAGGUUAGGUCUGUUCGACC
rnacentral:rRNA from 1 species